rnacentral:tRNA from 2 species
AGGACUGUAGCUCAGUUGGUUAGAGCGCAUCGUUGACAUCGAUGAGGUCGGCGAUUCGAAUUCGCCCAGUCCUACCA